rnacentral:rRNA from 1 species
CAAGUCGAACGGGAGCCCGGCUUCGGCCGGUCACUCUAGUGGCGGACGGGUGAGUAACGCGUGGGAACCUGCCCUUCAGUUCGGAAUAACCACGGGAAACUGUGGCUAAUACCGUAUACGCCCUCCGGGGGAAAGAUUUAUCGCUGAAGGAUGGGCCCGCGUCGGAUUAGCUUGUUGGUAGGGUAACGGCCUACCAAGGCAACGAUCCGUAGCUGGUCUGAGAGGACGAUCAGCCACACUGGGACUGAGACACGGCCCAGACUCCUACGGGAGGCAGCAGUGGGGAAUAUUGGACAAUGGGGGCAACCCUGAUCCAGCAAUGCCGCGUGUGUGAAGAAGGCCUUAGGGUUGUAAAGCACUUUCACCGGGGAAGAUGAUGACGGUACCCGGAGAAGAAGCUCCGGCUAACUC